rnacentral:lncRNA from 1 species
GUCAUUACUUAUAUUCUAGGUAGAUUGAAUACUGUUAUGCCUUUAUUUCUACAUUUCUGGCAAAUGUCAGAUAUGUUCGCAAAAAAAAAAAGAUUUAAAAGUCGUCGUUUCAGGAAUAUACUCUUAUUUUGGAGUGGAGGAGGAGUAUAAAUAAGGCAUUAGCCAACUCCUAAUAUCAACUCAGCAAACGCAAUAAAUCUUCAAGACACUGGUUGUUCACUCUACCUCAAGGGCUUCUGGCCUGCUUAAUUUCCUUAGCAUGCCUGGUUAAUAUGCAUGCAACGCUGCAUAUGGACUUGGGGCACUGUGGCUAGGAGCUAAAGAG